GACGAACGCUGGCGGCGUGCCUAAUACAUGCAAGUCGAACGCUUUUUCUUUCACCGGAGCUUGCUCCACCGAAAGAAAAAGAGUGGCGAACGGGUGAGUAACACGUGGGUAACCUGCCCAUCAGAAGGGGAUAACACUUGGAAACAGGUGCUAAUACCGUAUAACACUAUUUUCCGCAUGGAAGAAGGUUGAAAGGCGCUUUUGCGUCACUGAUGGAUGGACCCGCGGUGCAUUAGCUAGUUGGUGAGGUAACGGCUCACCAAGGCAACGAUGCAUAGCCGAGCUGAGAGGGUGAUCGGCCACACUGGGACUGAGACACGGCCCAGACUCCUACGGGAGGCAGCAGUAGGGAAUCUUCGGCAAUGGACGAAAGUCUGACCGAGCAACGCCGCGUGAGUGAAGAAGGUUUUCGGAUCGUAAAACUCUGUCGUUAGAGAAGAACAAGGAUGAGAGUAGAACGUUCAUCCCUUGACGGUAUCCAACCAGAAAGCCACGGCUAACUACGUGCCAGCAGCCGCAGUAA
rnacentral:rRNA from 1 species